UAUUGUUUUGAUUCUUCCACUCUUCUACUAACCAAAUUAAAAAUUUUUUAACAAAGUUGUACGUUCAGCUUAAUAAAAGUUCUGGCUGUAAAAAAACCAUUAUUAUCAAUUAAUUAAUAAAGUUGAUGACGUAAAAUAAUAUUAAAAUUAGAAUCAUUAAAUGCAGUUUUGAAAUAUUAUAUUAAAAUGAAGAACAAAUCAACACGUCAUAAAUGGAAAGAUACAUUUCAGGUUGCUGAAGUGAGGAAAACAACGAGGAAGUGGAUAUGUAUUUUCAUGGAACGACACAAAAAUGGAAUCUCCUGAAAUUAACAUAUGACUAUUGUAGUUCUACAAUAUAAAUGAGAAAAAUUAUUAUACUUUCGUAAUCGCUCUAUAAAGAACAAUAUAUCAUCGAAAGUUCCUAAAAUAUAUAUAGUUAAAAAUUAAAUGAGACAACAAAUUAUCCAGGAAAACUCGGAAUUAUCUACAAAUGAAAAUAAGCUUAUCUCUAAAAACAUUGAAAAAGAAAACGAAGAUGGUAAUGACGAUAAUGAAAACGUAAUGAUGAAAAUAAUACUUUAAUUGGCCAAGACAAAGGAGAAAGAAUGGAAUUAUAUGAAAUUAAAUAAUGAAAAUAUUGUAUAUAUAUAGAAGAUAAAGAUGAAAUGACAGAUGCACAUUUGUUUGACAUACGAUGACAUAUUGAAUUUUCAUAAUAUAGAUCAAACUAUAAUUCGAUAGAUAUGCAAUAUUGGAGAAUUAUGGUUAUGCUAAUCUAAUUGAUACUUUUAAGAUUUUAAUUUUGAUUAAAAUCGAGCGAUUACAAACAGAUUUUCAUUCAUAUAAUUCAUAAAAUUACUGAAUAAAAUUGUCAAAAAUGUAAUUUUCAUCGCAUAGGUCUCGAAAUAAGUUAAAAGUCAUAUUGUUUACUCAGAUAACGAUUAUUAAUUAUAUAAAAAGAGUAAUACUUUACCUCUUACUUGACUAAUGAAAUGAUUAAGAAAAACUAUAACUAUAGAAAUAAUUGAGGCACUUAAUUUAUUCUCAGUGGUAUCAUUCCAUUUAAUAUUAAUUAGGAUCUCCAUUCUAAGUAUACAAAUUUAUUAUGUUCAGAGAAAUACAAUAUUCAAAUGGGCCACUGAUAUAAUGGAUACUAUAUAAAUGAGAAAAUUAAAUGAAAUAUUUUUUAGUGUAAAUUCUUUUUUAAUACAGGAAACUUCCAUGAUUAUAGAAUCAUCUACUUUUGGAAGAAUUGACAAAGGAGAUAACUUCUGUGACAAAGAAAUAAAUGUGUAAGGAAGAAAAUACGAAAUUCUAUAGUAAAACAAUACUGCAACAAGAAAAGAUAUAUAAGCUGCAGUUUGUGGGAAAAUUGAAAUUAGCAGUAAAGGAAGAAACCUAAAAUUAAGCAACAAAGGAAGAAAGUAAACAAGAAGAAAAACGUAAGACUGUAAAUAGCAAAUAAUUGUUAAUUAACAAAUAAAGAUUUAUUCCUUUGUUCACAGAGAAACAAAUUUUCAUUUAUCACCUCAUCCAAAAUAAUAAAACAUAUUAUAUGCAUAUAUCAUUUCUUUUAAAUUUAAUGGUAUAGCAAUGUCGGUAUUAAAAGCACUAAUAUCAGACUCAUUAAAAGACUUUAAAAAAUUAAUAUACUUAAAAUUAUUAAAUACAAUUUUAUAUGAUAAUAUUUUUGUUGUAGGCUUAGUAAACAUCUUCAGUUAUAUGCACCUGUACCUCUGCUGACACGUUUUUCCAAAUUACAAUAAAUUCAUGGUACUGAUGUGAUAUUGCCACAUCUUGAUAUAUCUUACACUUUUUCUCUGUGUUUCCACUGUGCAAUUGCUUCUUGUAAAGGAAUAGUGUUUUAUCGAUGAAGAAGAAGAAAAAGGAAAGGACAGUCAGUUUUAAUUCAGUAGUCAACAAUCUUAAUUAGAGAAUGUCUGAAAUGAAUCUUUCCAGUCGGUUCAUAACCCUGUAAAUCUAUUAAUAUAUACAUAUUUGUGUCAUAUUUAAUCAAUUUUUACUCCUUAAAUUUUAUUAAUUGCUAACGAUUGACCUACACCAUUUCUUACAAAUAUGUAGGAAGAGAAAUAAACUAUGAGAUUGUUUGGAUUGUCAGAAAAUAAGCGUAAAUAAUUUUUUAUUUCAAACCUACAGGUAAUUUCUUUUAUUUUAUAGCAUUUCAUACUAAUUACAUUCGAAUUGUAUUUUUUCUGUGCAUAUAUAUUUCGAUGUAAGUCAUUUCAAAAGUAUCUCAAUGAUUAUUAAUAUAUUACUUUAUUUUCUCGUACACAUGUUGAUUAAGUUCUUUGAAAAAUUUCUAAUUUUGUGUCUGAAUAUACAACAAAUAGCGGUUUUGUCAUUUGUAAAUAGUUAUGUUAAAUUUUACAAAAUAUAUAUAAAUUAUAAAGUCAAUCAUAAGUCAUGAAAUAAAUUAAAAUUAUAAAUCAUUUUGUAUUAGAUUAAAAUUUAUAUUUUAUGGUUGUUCCAAUAAAAUGCAAAGUUAGGUAGGAAUUGAGAGUCACUGUUACGUUUCUCACAAGUGCUCAGAUGGUCUGCUAUUCCUAUAUAAUAUACUUCGAAGCUAAUAGUAUUGAAGUUUCCUCGUGCGUCACUUCGGAGCCACUAGCGGAGUUCGUCAGUAACUCUCAACUUGCUUUGAGGAAAGUCCCUGGACCUUCGGCAGAGAGUGCCGUAACUUAGCUGUUAUAAGCCUUUCUUCGCCGUCUUUCUCGAUUAUAGGAUAGGAAGCCUUUGGCUGAUCUUUUCGAGAUUGGGCGAGAGUGUAUUGGUCAAAGCAAAGUUUUCGAUGUGUUCGAGACGCGAAUUUCUAUCCAUCCUGUGUGGAUGAAUCUUCGUAUCUAACUGAACAGGGCUUUCAGCGAGGAAACUUCUU